AAACUGGGUCUAAUACCGAAUAUGACCCUGCGCCUCCUGGUGUGUGGUGGAAAGCUUUUGCGGUGUGGGAUGGGCCCGCGGCCUAUCAGCUUGUUGGUGGGGUAAUGGCCUACCAAGGCGACGACGGGUAGCCGGCCUGAGAGGGUGACCGGCCACACUGGGACUGAGAUACGGCCCAGACUCCUACGGGAGGCAGCAGUGGGGAAUAUUGCACAAUGGGCGCAAGCCUGAUGCAGCGACGCCGCGUGAGGGAUGACGGCCUUCGGGUUGUAAACCUCUUUCCAGCACAGACAAACGCAAGUGACGGUAUGUGCAGAAGAAGGACCGGCCAACUACGUGCCAGCMGCCGCGGUAAUWC
rnacentral:rRNA from 1 species